rnacentral:rRNA from 1 species
GACAGAGGGUGCAAACGUUGUUCGGAAUUACUGGGCGUAAAGCGCGUGUAGGCGGCUGUGCAAGUCGGAUGUGAAAUCCCGUGGCUCAACCACGGAAGUGCACCCGAAACUGCGCAGCUGGAGUCUCGGAGAGGAAGGUGGAAUGCUUGGUGUAGAGGUGAAAUUCGUAGAUAUCAAGCGGAACACCGGUGGCGAAGGCGGCCUUCUGGACGAUGACUGACGCUGAGACGCGAAAGCGUGGGGAGCAAACAGG